ACUAGUGAGAAUCCAAUGAGAAAGCUACAGUCUGCAUCUGGAAGAGGACCCUCACUAGAACCUGAGCGGGCUGGAACCCUGAUGUUGGACAUCCAGCCUCCAAAACUAGCACCACCAUUCCAGAGUUGCUGAAAUGAAGCAGCCAAGGCCCAGCUUAGAUGUCCCAAUUGAUGAUGGAUGAGAGUGUUAAACCUCCAUCCUGCACAGGAUGGAACACCAGGAGCCCCAAAUCUACGUCAGAAAUUUCACUGGAGCAAUAAGACACAUAUCCUUGGGAAUUUGAGGACCAGAGGCUAAUAAGGAGUCCAUGGUUGAUAGGAUCUAGGAAUACACAGACACUGCUGUCAUCUAGCCCAAAUUCCUUCCCAUUGUUCCAAGAGUUAUAGGCACAACUAAGUUUAAAGAAGCACUUACUGUAGCAGUCUGGAUAGGCUAGGAUACACAAUGGAAAACUAAAUCUCAAGACCUCAAAAUAACAAGAGUAAAUGCCGUUUUGUCAAUGAAAGAGGGAUGCUUGCGAUGAUGUGAAGGAUGUCUGAGAAGAGGUGUAUUUCUGAAGGAAAGAAAGAACACAGCAUACUCCUUGGAUAAAUCUCAUUUUCUUCCUUGUUAAGCCUUUUUUUCCCAUUGCAUUCUCUACAAACCCCUGGCCCACUCUUUCCUCCUCUUUCUACUUCCUUCCUUUCUCACCUGUACCCCAAACUAUAUUUGUAAACUCUUGCAGUGUUACUUUUGCACAGGGCUUGAAAUAUUUAACACCUUUGUUUUUAAUACAUGAGAAAAAUAAGAUCUAUAGGAAAGGAAACAACUUAACCAGUUUGAACAGGUAAUUGAUAGACUACAGUCCUCUCUCAAAUGUUUACUAAUGACACAUAUGCAUGGAGAUGGGAAUGUAUACAUACACACACACACAUACACACACACACAAACACACGUAUUGACUGGUUGAAACAUGACAGUUCUCCAGUACCUGGGAAUUAAAGGAGGGUGCAUUAGCCAUCCCUACCUUUACCUCAAUAUCCAUUUUAGGAAGGAUUAGAAAUUAAUUUACAUGAUUGAACAUACCAAGGGCUUUGAAAGCAGAAAAAUAUGAAAUUCAGAUUUUUCACUUCUUCAUCCUGGAGGUUCAGUUUUCCCAACACUAAAAUGAGGAUAGUAACACCAAACAUGGGAAUUGUUGAAGUGAUCAGUGAAAUAGAUGCUGUAUUAUAGGCCUAGCUCAGUUUAUGCUCUUAUCUUAAGAUUCUCUCUCUGGAAACCAAACCACCCCUGGAAUGGGCUCUGGUGGUCCUUACAUGAACAUAAGGCAUGCAUAACCCCUUUGAUAUUGUGAGUGUUUCUCUGCAUAUGAGCAUUCUUUUCUUCAGGGAAAAGUUCCUAACUUUUAUUAGAUUCUCAAAGUUGUCUGUAUUUCCUAUUAUUUUAAGAAAACUGACUUAAAUAGAAGGUGUAAUUGCGAAUGUUAACAAUAAUAAUUACAAACACCAUAACAUUACUAAUAUUUCACUACAAACAAAUAAUAAUAGUAUUAUUAUUAAUAUUCAAUUAUCUGAACAUGAGCCAAAAUUGGUGGAUGAAUCACAUUUAAAUCAUCGGGUGCUUUGCUUUCACCAGGUAAAAAGUUCCAAUUUCUUCUUAUUACAUUAAAUCUUAAGAACCUAUUUCACUCUUAUCCACAAAAAGGAACUCAUUUCCCCUAGAAAGGCAGGCUAAUGAGGUCUGCUUAAUUUAUAGCUGGGUCCAUUUAUGUGGUGGUUUCAUUAACAAAGACAUCUAUUUAAUUCAAUAGAUUCCUACACGUGGUACACAUAGAAGACACUACUACCCCCAUUCACUCCCCAUCCAUUCAUUACCCUAAUGCUUCUGACACACACAAACAAACCUUGUUUUACAAAUUGCUUAGAGAUUUGAUUAUUGCAUCAUGCAUUUUGUUGUAACAAGAAAGGUGAUUUAAAAUCAUUAGUCCUAAAAUUUAGUCCUGUGUGUGCUUUGAAGUCAAGGGGAACAAUUUGUCAGCUGGUUGAUCUUUUGCUUCUAAAGCUAGUUAACUGAUCAAUCUAAUGUCAAAGGAACAGAGAUAAAUGGGAGACAUUUUACUAUGUAGAAAACGGUACAUGAAGAUAAAUCCAACACUGUGCUUUAUUUCAUCUGCAGUUAUCUUUGUAGUAAUUGCUUUGGAAGACUCAAGGUGCUCUUUGCACAUAGGGAGUGUUAGAAGCCUUUAAAUCAUCUGCAUAGACUAGUAGCUUCUUGCUGCGAAUCUUGCUUUGCUCCAUUUUUGGGUAGAGAGGACAAUAAUCUCCUACUAUAAAUGCAAAUUUGGCAAGGACCAAAGGUUGGGAUUCUUGACUAGUUGUUUAUUGAACAAUCAAUUCAUACAUUUCUGAAAUUUCUUGACAUGCUUGCAAAGUAGAUCCAUUCCUUAUUGAAUUCAUUUGAUUUUCACUAUGACCAUAAUGAUUAAACUAGUUCUGGAGUAAACGUUUCCUAAUGAACAGAUUUGGAUGUACCAGCUGUUCCAGUUAUCUCUGUACAAAACAACCCCCCCAACUAUCUGGCUUAAAACAAAAGACAUAUAUUUCAUAAUUUUGUAAAUCAAAAAUUGAAAUUGAGUGACAACAGCAAAGGAAACUUAAAAAUAUUUAGCCAUCAAUGAACUGUAGGGUCCAAUAUACCUUCAUUUACAUGUCUGGUACCUUGGAUGCAGGGAAUGAUUGGAAGGCUUGUCUAGUAGACUCAGCUGUGACUGCCAAUCAGAGUACCUCCAUUUGGCUUCUCCAACAAGAAGUAUCAGAUAAACUUCUUACUUGACAUCUCAGGGCUCUCAGAGAGUUCUAAAAGGCCAUACUGGAAGCUGCAACAGUUCUUAUCAGAGUAUCAGUUGCUACUAGGUCAAUUUAUGGACAAAUCACUCAGGUCAUCUCAGACUCAAGGUAAGAGAAACUAGACUCUACCUCAUAGAGAAGAGAAAAACACGGUAUCCAUAUCCUUCUUUAAUCUACCACUCCAGAACAUUUUGAUUCUAUACAAGACCCAUUAUCAAAUCAUUCUGCUGCCAUCACCUCAAGGUUUUAUAUGUUUUAGAAUGUUCAGCAAGACAGAUCAUGGUCAGGGUAAAAGAGCAGUAAUUGGUUAAGUAGCUAUUAUUCUGACAAGCUACAAAAGGGACUUGCAUUUUCUUAACUCUCAGAAAUUUUUUGUAUUUUUAGUAGAGACGGGGUUUCACCGAGAAACAUCUUCUUACUGAAAGUUAUGUGAACACCCAUUAGAAACCAGGGAGAGAGAUUUCAUUUCUUCCAGAGUAGGUUCAAUGCCUAGUUUUACCCUAUCAGAAUUUUGUCCGGGGCACUUAUCCAGUGACAAUUUUUUUUUCAUAAGAGCUAUUUUUCGUAAGACUGCCCAAAAUCUUAGGAAUGAUCCAAUUUUCCAGUAAUGACUAAUAUAUUAAGAUGCAUAUGAAGGCUCCUCUUUCAUUAUGAUAGUCACCCUCUCACCAUUGCCUACCGAAUACUGUCUCAACUCAUCGAACUGCCUGACUUUUCACAACGAAGCCUUUAAAGUUUAUUCAAAACUUCUCUCCUCACAUUCACCCUGUCCACCAGCGAGACCACCCCUCCCAUUGUCUCCAGAAUAAAUAUGGUGUUCCCACCUCUGGGAAAGUUAACAAUGACAAUUAUAUCAAUUGCUAAUAUUUGUUGAACACUUACAUCACUUGUUUGCUCUUUAGGCUACGUUGAUUGAUGUGAAUUGCAAUGGACACUCCGAUGCCGUUGGGAAGCACUUCUUGUCUGUUGUACUCAACACAAAGAACUGUCCACUCUUGAUAUUUUUUUUGUAAAAGCCUGUAUCAUGUCUUCCCAGACAAAUGUUCCAGGAAAGUAUGAGAUUUUGUCUCGUACUACUUGUUUUCACACACAAUGUCUCACACAGAGCAGGCACUCCACAAAUAAAUUACUAGUCCAGCAACCCUUUAUUACACAACUGUUACAUACUCCAUGCAAACAAGGAAAGCAAGUUAGAACAAAUGAAACACAACUUCAGGAAUAGUUUGUUGUUCAUUUGAAUUUGCUGAUAUUUUUAUGUUUGACUUUAGAGGAAUUUGAAUGAUUUAGGUCGGAAUUGCAUUUCUACAGCUGGCUGGCAGGACAACUUUGAACAGUCUACAGAGCUCCUAUUUUCCUCUCUCUGAAGUGAGGGUAACAACUGGUAAAAGUGUUGUAUGUCUAAAAUCACAAAAGUGAUGUAAAGCUUUACUUUUCAAAUUUUCUUGUGCUUAAAAAUCAUCUGGAAUCUUGUAAAAAGGGCUGUGGUCUAAAAGAAAGAGCCUGAGAUUCUGCAUUUCAGACAAGCUCCCAGAGAAGGUAAAUGAUGGCCCAUCGGCUACAGCUUGAGUAGCAAUGCUAUAAAGCACCUAAUAUUAAUACUCACUCUGAAAUGUUGUCCUCCCCUUCCUCCCUCCAUCUUCCUAUUUGAAAAUUCCAGGAGACAGAAAUGGAUUUUUAUUUACUCCAAACGUCCAGUCUGAUGGUCUCUCAAUUGUGUUCCUCGUUUAAAAUAGUGCGGCUCCUGCACUUUGUUUAACUCUGCUUGACAAUCAGUGAUUUGUGAUUCUGCUCUUUCCUGAGCAUGUUUAUAAAAUGACGACCUUGGGAUUGGAGUCUCUGCUGCCCAAAUGCAGGGAGCAGACUUUCUAUGGAAGAAUUGUGAAAGGUCAUUUUACCACUGUUUUUUUCUUUCUUCUUGUCUUUCUUUUUGUUUUUUUGCCUUGGCUUCAUAUGCUAAUGGAAUCAACAUCCCCAUUUGCUAUUUUAAUGUUUCUUAGAAAGCUUUAUCUCAGAAUUUCCUAUGGUUUGUAUGUGCAUUAGUCUUCUAGGUGAAUCAGAGGUUUCCUGCUAUAACACCAUGAGGUUUCUCAAUAGACCCUCUUGGCUCCUUGUUGAGUCUUUUGAAUGACUUUAUUAUAAUAAAGUUGACUUGGAGCCAGAGGAGGCAGAGCUCCAGUGUUGGGCUUUCUGUAGAAUUUUAUGGGUUUUUCUCAGAAGUUUAAUGCCAGUUUAAUGGAGUUUUAUAACUAUUAAUACUCUACCACUCCAGCUGCGCUAAGAAAUAUGUAACUAAACAAUAACUUGAAAUAGGUAAAUUCAUGAUUAAGUUGCACUAAAAACUAAUGCCUCUUGGCCAUAGUUCAUAAUUUCCAAAGGCACAUCAUUUAGAAUGAUUGGUAACUUUAGCCUUGUAACUCUUUCAAGGAGAAAGGCUGUGAGCUUAAAUCACUACAUUAAGCUGACAGUGAGGCUCAUAUUUUCUGAGCUAAAGAUAUAUUUUUAUGGCCACACAGUGGACUCUGUUUAUCACUCAUCAUAAACCAUAGGAAACCAUUUUUGUUUUAAAUUAGGUGCUUAGGCUUUUGUCCUGUAAUCUGUUUCUUUAUUUCCCCUUUUCACUUUUGUUGGUCCAUUUUCAACAACUCCCAAUCGUCUUCCGUUUCCUGAAAACAGCUCAUAUUUUAUAUCUCAGCUUCUUUAAAGGUAUUUCAUCCUAGUUGAGGUCACCUUAAUUUACACCUCAAAUUACAGUUCCAGAGCCAACUUCUUUGCUGCUGAUAUUGAGUAGUAAUCCUACUAAAGAGUCCAAUUUUAAAAUGAGGAACAGUCUUAUCCUACAAUGCCAGGCAUAAGAAGCCCAUGAAUUUUGCAUAUAUCUUUAGUACUUUAAUUUAUUGAAUUACAUUUCUCCACUUCUUUGAGCCACUUAGUCAAUUACACUUCAUUCUGCUGCCUCGUCUGGUUCUAGAAGCUGUCUGUUCACAAAGACCAUAACUAAGUCAGUUUUUCCCAGACGAGGCAACAGCCGCAAAUCAUCUGAAAGUGAAAUGACUGUGGAAUUUGAGGUUUAAUUGUUUUUAAGCCAUCUUGAUUAUGUUUAUUAAAAUAGAAGGUCUUGUCAAGUUAGACCUCUCUCUAUUUCUGUCUGUCUUUCUCCUCACCUCCCUCACUGACUUUUCAGCUCACUGAGGCCCAUCCUUUUAUUGCCUGAUUUUAUACAGUUGGAUGAGAAACACAUACUGGGCAGUGGCCACAGCCCCAUCAACUGAAAGGAAUAUGAUGGGAUCAGAAGUCCUCUUAAUGAAAAACUGUAUCUUUAAUUCCUGUGGAAUUUUAAAACAUGUGCAGUGCAAUCUAUAAAUGGCCAAAUAAAAAAAGAGCAAAUAAACAUAAGAUGUUACUGUGAUCUGGUAUAAAGCCUAUAUGGCAUAGCUGAGUUUCUACCCUGCCCUAACUCCACUUAUCUUGAAGAAAAAGGAUGCCUGUGAUCAAAAUUUUUCUUUGCAAACCAGACUAGCUGAAUUUCUACCCUGCUCUGACUCCACUUAUCUUGAAGAGAAAGGAUGCCUGUGAUCAAAAGUUUCCUUUGUAACCAGACCAGUUGAAACUGGUUAAAACCAAGAUAGCAGACCAAACGAUGUCAAAAGACUUUAGGCUUCAUUACGAUCUCAUUUCCAUGCUAAAUGACACUUCCAACAGUGCCAUGACAGUUGAUAUGUGCCAUGACAGCAACCAGAAUAAGCCAGAAAAGGACAAAAAGGAAGGCAGCACUCUGGUUCCAGGAAGUUCAUCACCUGUAUUAGUCUGUUUUCAUGCUGCUGAUAAAGACACACCAGAGACUGGGUAAUUUAUAAAGUAAAAGAGGUUUAAUGAACUUACAGUUCCAUGUGGCUGAGAAGGCUUCACAAUCAUGGUGGAGGGCGAGGGCGAAAGGCACUUCUUACAUGACAGCAGCUAGAUGGAGUUAAAGAGCCAAACAAAAGGGCUUUACCUUUAUAAACCCAUUACAGACUUAAUCACUACCAUGAGAACAGCAUGGGGAAAACUGCUCCCAUGAUUCAAUUAUCUCCCACUGGGUCCCUCCCACAACACGUGGGAAUUAUGGGAGCUACAAUUCAAGAUGAGAUUUGGGUGGGGACACAGCCAAACAAUAUCACCACCCAUUUCUGGAAAAAGACAUAGACAUUCUUCCUCUCAUGUUUAAUGUCCAACACCUUCAUCAGAAAACCCUAUAUUUUAACCCAUUCACUCCUCACUAGUCCAGGAGGAGUCAUGCUCCUGUUUCUCAGUUCCAUGGUGAUUGAGUAAAGCCUGCACUGCUUGACACUCACUUUCAGUUUUGUAUAUUGGCUUUCUGACACCAAACAGAGAGACCCCAUCCUUGGGGAGACCAGCUUUGUGGGUAACAGUUUAUCAUGUUUACAGUGAUUUUUUUUUUCGUAAUUUCUAGAACUGUUAAAAGAAAGCUUUAACACAAUAUCUUCUUACACAAUUGAAUAAGGAAAGUGGGCCUGCUCCUGAGCAUUGUAGGAGGUAAAACUCUAUGUUUUGCUCCUGAUUACUUUGGAGCUUUUUCUCACUCAGCUCUGUCUGCCUUUCUAUUGCCUUUAUUUGUUUACAUGCCUAACUUUAUCUUUCCA
rnacentral:lncRNA from 1 species